rnacentral:tRNA from 1 species
GGGGAUUUAGCUCAGCGGCAUAAGCACCUGCCUUACAAGCAGGCGGUCAUGAGUUCGAUCCCUGGUCCCCG